CUGGCUCAGAACGAACGGACUGGCGGACGGUGCUUAACACAUGCAAGCGAACGCGAAAGGGACUUCGGUCCUGAGUAAAGUGGCGCACGGGUGAGUAACGCGUAGAUAACCUGUCUUCAUGUCUGGAAUAAUACGCCAAAGGGGUACUAAUACCGGAUAUUCUUGCUUUUCAUAAGUUAUGCAAGCAAAGGUGGCCUCUGCAUAUGCUACUGCAUGAAGAGGGGUCUGCGUACCAUUAGCUAGUAGGUGGGGUAAUGGCCUACCUAGGCGACGAUGGUUAGCGGGUCUGAGAGGAUGAUCCGCCACACUGGCACUGGAACACGGGCCAGACUCCUACGGGAGGCAGCAGUGAGGAAUAUUGCGCAAUGGGGGAAACCCUGACGCAGCGACGCCGCGUGAGUGAGGAAGGCCUUCGGGUCGUAAAGCUCUGUCAAGAGGAAAGAAGUGUACAAUGGCUAAUACCUGUUGUAUUUGACGGUACCUCUAAAGGAAGCACCGGCUAACUCCGUGCCAGCCGCCGC
rnacentral:rRNA from 1 species